rnacentral:lncRNA from 1 species
GGAACAGGGAGUAUCUUUAGUUCUGCUGAAGAGUGCAGGAUGAAAGUUAGACAAAAAAUAAUAAUAAUAAUAACACAUCUAACAGUUAUGCAGAUAUUGCUCAAAAACACAGCUGUGCUUUUUGGCAGUGAACAUGAACUCACAUCUGUCAGUGCUGUCAGCCAUGGAGCCCUCUCCUGUCCCAUCCUGAGCUGAUAUCCAGCACUGUCUGUGGUUUACCCCACCAUCACCAUUUGAAAGAUGAGGUAACAGAGGCUUACAGAGAAUAAGUAAUUUUCCCAAGAUCACACAGUUGGCAACUGUCUGAACCUAGUUUCAAACCCUGAGUCAGCUCAAUUCCAAAGGUCCAGUGAUUUCCAGACAACUAAAUAAUGCACCAUUUAAAAUUCUUCAGUAAGAACUUGUAGUCAGUGCUUUUAGUCUAUACAGGAUAUCAGUUUGUUCCAGGCAGCACUAAUGUGCAUAACAAUAUUGAAUGUCUUUCAUUUUAAGACAAUUGUAAGAUUUAAUGAGGACAUCAAUGUAAUAAUAGCUUUGGGGAAGC